UUUUUUUUUUUUUUUUUUUUAAGUGAUGAGCCCUGUUGGCUGUCCCGCCUCAGAGAAGACGGAGACAUUGGUGAGAGAGCAUGGAGCUUUUGAAGAGUGCUGUGCUCUAGUGAGUGGGCUGAUUGUACCACCCUUCCCCUGAUUGACACCCUCCCACCUCUUCCUGCUCAGUCGUCCUCUGGCUGUGGCAUUGUCUACUGCAGGACUAGAGAAGCUUGUGAACAACUGGCCAUUGAGCUCAGCAGCAGGGGUGUGAACGCCAAGGCUUACCACGCAGGUAAGAGGUUCACCUCUAUCCUCUUCAUCGCCGCAUGCCUCUUCGCGUGCUCCUUAAUGGAUCCUGAAUAUCAGGUGAUCUGUCACCUAUUUCUAGGUACUCAUAUAGAGCUAAAGUGAUUUACUCAAUCCCACUAAAAACUAGAAACCGGUGACUCUGACUUCUUUCUCUACCCAGCAGAAGCAAAGAGCUUUUGUUUUUUAUGUGUUUGAGUGUUCUGCCUUCAUGCUUGUCUGUAUACCACUUGCAUGCUUAGUACUCACAGAGACCAGAGGAGGGCAUUGAAUCCCCUGGAGUACAGAUAGUUGAGAAUUGUAAUGUGGGUGCUUGCCACAGACCACCCCAGUUGGGUAUGGGGGUCCCUGGAAUGAGGGUCCUCGAAGCUAGGUGGGUAAGGAUUUGGCGGUGACAAACAGAAACAAACACAGAGACAGUUUGAGUAUGAGUGUAUUUUGAAGCUCUCAAGCAGGGGAUUUUAUACAUUAAAAAAACCAAACAUUACAUCUCUUAGAAAUUGUAUCCAGUGAAACAAUCACAAAUACCAACAAAAAUCAUUUGGCACAGUAAAGCACAAAAAAUGAUCUAAGCAUUGCAAUUCUGAAACUAUGUGUUCAGUGGAUCACAACAGAACAGGUACCCUCAUUAUAAAUCAUCAAAAUAGAACAAUUCUAAAAGGAUGUGUUCAUUGGGGGCUGUCAUCCAACUCUAGUGGCGUGUUUCCAGGAGCAGGUUAAUAAAUCUUUAAUGGUGGUCAGUGCUCUUAACCGCUGAACCAACUCUCCAGCCCCAUGGUCAAUUAUUAUUUAAUAUCUAGUGCCUGAUUUUUAAAUAAAUCUUUAAUAUAUAAAUUUAAACUAUUUUAAUUCUUUCUAAUUAAGGCUUUCUUUACCAUAUACCAAAACCUACCUCCGAUGACACACGUGUAGCCAUAUGAAAUUUUAUUGUUGAGAAAGUUUUUAUCUAUCAUCAUAGUUUUGUAAAUAAUUUAGAAAGCAAAACGUUGGUUUCCUCGGGGAUAAGGUCAUGUUAGUGACCCCCAUCUCUAGGGAUGGUUUCUUACCCAUUAUUCUCACUUAAGAUCUUGACCUAGGCUACUCGGAACAUGUAAAUAAGAAAAGGAAUAAGAGAAAGCAAAACAGAUAGAUUGCCCUGAGAACUACAGCUCAAUAUUUUUUCUUUGGUGAAGAGUUCCACAACUGGCUCCAGGAGCGCCCCCACCCCAGGUCAAUCGCCUGAGGUUGUGGAACUUGUCACACAGACCCUACUGGAGGUGGUGUGGCAGGCACUGUGAAUCAAACCCUGGUCUUCUGGAAGAGCAGCCAUACUCUUAACUAGUCAACCCUCUCUCUAGCCUGGUCUACAAAGUGAGUUCCAGGACAGCCAGGGCUACCAGAGAAACCCUGUCUCG
rnacentral:lncRNA from 1 species